UUAAGUUAAUAAGGGCGCACGGUGGAUGCCUUGGCACUAGGAGCCGACGAAGGACGUGACAAACGACGAUAUGCCUUGGGUAGCUGUAAGUAAGCGAUGAUCCAGGGAUUUCCGAAUGGGGGAACCCAACAGGUAAUACCUGUUACCUACAUCUGUUAAGGAUGUGAGGAGGAAGACGCAGUGAACUGAAACAUCUAAGUAGCUGCAGGAAGAGAAAGCAAAAGCGAUUGCCUUAGUAGCGGCGAGCGAAACGGCAGAAGGGCAAACCGAAGAGUUUACUCUUCGGGGUUGUAGGACUGCAAUGUGGACUCAAAGAUUAUAGAAGAAUGAUUUGGGAAGAUCAGCCAAAGAGAGUAAUAGCCUCGUAUUUAAAAUAGUCUUUGUACUUAGCAGUAUCCUGAGUACGGCGGGACACGUGAAAUCCCGUCGGAAUCUGGGAGGACCAUCUCCCAACCCUAAAUACUCCCUAGUGACCGAUAGUGAACCAGUACCGUGAGGGAAAGGUGAAAAGCACCCCGGGAGGGGAGUGAAAUAGAACCUGAAACCGUGUGCCUACAACAAGUUCGAGCCCGUUAAUGGGUGAGAGCNUGCCUUUUGUAGAAUGAACCGGCGAGUUACGUUAUGAUGCGAGGUUAAGUUGAAGAGACGGAGCCGUAGGGAAACCGAGUCUGAAUAGGGCGCCUUAGUAUCAUGACGUAGACCCGAAACCAUGUGACCUACCCAUGAGCAGGUUGAAGGUGCGGUAAGACGCACUGGAGGACCGAACCAGGGCACGUUGAAAAGUGCUUGGAUGACUUGUGGGUAGCGGAGAAAUUCCAAACGAACUUGGAGAUAGCUGGUUCUCUCCGAAAUAGCUUUAGGGCUAGCGUCGACAUUAGAGAUUCUUGGAGGUAGAGCACUGUUUGGGUGAGGGGUCCAUCCCGGAUUACCAAUCUCAGAUAAACUCCGAAUGCCAAUGAAUUAUGGUCGGCAGUCAGACUGCGAGUGCUAAGAUCCGUAGUCGAAAGGGAAACAGCCCAGACCACCAGCUAAGGUCCCAAAAUAAUUGUUAAGUGGAAAAGGAUGUGGGGUUGCACAGACAACUAGGAUGUUAGCUUAGAAGCAGCUAUUCAUUCAAAGAGUGCGUAAUAGCUCACUAGUCGAGUGACCCUGCGCCGAAAAUGUACCGGGGCUAAAACAAUUUACCGAAGCUGUGGAUACCUUUAUAGGUAUGGUAGGAGAGCGUUCUAUGUGUGAUGAAGGUAUACCGUGAGGAGUGCUGGAACGCAUAGAAGUGAGAAUGCCGGUAUGAGUAGCGAAAGACAGGUGAGAAUCCUGUCCACCGUAAGACUAAGGUUUCCAGGGGAAGGCUCGUCCGCCCUGGGUUAGUCGGGACCUAAGGAGAGACCGAAAGGUGUAUCCGAUGGACAACAGGUUGAUAUUCCUGUACUAGAGUAUGUAGUGAUGGAGGGACGCAGUAGGCUAACUAAAGCAGACGAUUGGAAGAGUCUGUCUAAGCAGUGAGGUGUGAAUUGAGUCAAAUGCUUAAUUCUAUAACAUUGAGCUGUGAUGGGGAGCGAAGUUUAGUAGCGAAGUUAGUGACGUCACACUGCCAAGAAAAGCUUCUAGCGUUUAAACAUACUCUACCCGUACCGCAAACCGACACAGGUAGUCGAGGCGAGUAGCCUCAGGUGAGCGAGAGAACUCUCGUUAAGGAACUCGGCAAAAUGACCCCGUAACUUCGGGAGAAGGGGUGCUGACUUAAAGUCAGCCGCAGUGAAUAGGCCCAAGCAACUGUUUAUCAAAAACACAGCUCUCUGCUAAAUCGUAAGAUGAUGUAUAGGGGGUGACGCCUGCCCGGUGCUGGAAGGUUAAGAGGAGUGCUUAGCGUAAGCGAAGGUAUGAAUUGAAGCCCCAGUAAACGGCGGCCGUAACUAUAACGGUCCUAAGGUAGCGAAAUUCCUUGUCGGGUAAGUUCCGACCCGCACGAAAGGCGUAAUGAUUUGGGCACUGUCUCAACGAGAGACUCGGUGAAAUUUUAGUACCUGUGAAGAUGCAGGUUACCCGCGACAGGACGGAAAGACCCCAUGGAGCUUUACUGCAGUUUGAUAUUGAGUGUCUGUACCACAUGUACAGGAUAGGUAGGAGUCUAAGAGAUCGGGACGCCAGUUUCGAAGGAGACGCUGUUGGGAUACUACCCUUGUGUUAUGGCCACUCUAACCCAGAUAGGUGAUCCCUAUCGGAGACAGUGUCUGACGGGCAGUUUGACUGGGGCGGUCGCCUCCUAAAAGGUAACGGAGGCGCCCAAAGGUUCCCUCAGAAUGGUUGGAAAUCAUUCGCAGAGUGUAAAGGUAUAAGGGAGCUUGACUGCGAGAGCUACAACUCGAGCAGGGACGAAAGUCGGGCUUAGUGAUCCGGUGGUUCCGUAUGGAAGGGCCAUCGCUCAACGGAUAAAAGCUACCCUGGGGAUAACAGGCUUAUCUCCCCCAAGAGUUCACAUCGACGGGGAGGUUUGGCACCUCGAUGUCGGCUCGUCGCAUCCUGGGGCUGUAGUCGGUCCCAAGGGUUGGGCUGUUCGCCCAUUAAAGCGGCACGCGAGCUGGGUUCAGAACGUCGUGAGACAGUUCGGUCCCUAUCCGUCGCGGGCGUAGGAAAUUUGAGAGGAUCUGCUCCUAGUACGAGAGGACCAGAGUGGACUUACCGCUGGUGUACCAGUUGUCUUGCCAAAGGCAUCGCUGGGUAGCUAUGUAGGGAAGGGAUAAACGCUGAAAGCAUCUAAGUGUGAAACCCACCUCAAGAUGAGAUUUCCCAUGAUUAUAUAUCAGUAAGAGCCCUGAGAGAUGAUCAGGUAGAUAGGUUAGAAGUGGAAGUGUGGCGACACAUGUAGCGGACUAAUACUAAUAGCUCGAGGACUUAUCCAA
rnacentral:rRNA from 1 species